CCUAUGGAGAGUUGUAACCACUCUAGUAGUUCCGACGAACGAGAACUCGAUGAAAUAGGAA
rnacentral:ncRNA from 12 species